GAUGAACGCUGGCGGCGUGCCUAACACAUGCAAGUCGAGCGAUUCUCUUCGGAGAAGAGCGGCGGACGGGUGAGUAACGCGUGGGUAACCUGCCCUGUACACACGGAUAACAUACCGAAAGGUAUGCUAAUACGGGAUAAUAUAUAAGAGUCGCAUGACUUUUAUAUCAAAGAUUUUUCGGUACAGGAUGGACCCGCGUCUGAUUAGCUUGUUGGCGGGGUAACGGCCCACCAAGGCGACGAUCAGUAGCCGACCUGAGAGGGUGAUCGGCCACAUUGGAACUGAGACACGGUCCAAACUCCUACGGGAGGCAGCAGUGGGGAAUAUUGCACAAUGGGCGCAAGCCUGAUGCAGCAACGCCGCGUGAGCGAUGAAGGCCUUCGGGUCGUAAAGCUCUGUCCUCAAGGAAGA
rnacentral:rRNA from 1 species